GUCUAUGGCCAUGCCACCUUAAAUGUGCCCGAUCUCAUCUGAUCUCGGAAGCUAAGCAGGGUUGGGCCUGGUUAGUACUUGGAUUGGAGACUACCUAGGAAUACCAGGUGCUGUAGGCA
rnacentral:rRNA from 1 species